GAUGAACGCUGGCGGCGUGCCUAAUACAUGCAAGUCGAGCGAAGCGGGGACGGGUGAGUAACACGUGGAUAACCUCCUAUAAGACUGGGAUAACUUCGGGAAACCGGAGCUAAACCGGAUACUUAUAGAUGGAUCCGCGCUGCAUUAGCUAGUUGGUAAGUUAACGGCUUACCAAGGCCACGAUCCCUAGCUGGUCUGAGAGGGUGACCGGCCACACUGGAACUGAGACACGGUCCAGACUCCUACGGGAGGCAGCAGUGGGGAAUAUUGCACAAUGGGCGAAAGCCUGAUGCAGCCAUGCCGCGUGAGUGAAGAAGGCCUUCGGAUUGUAAAGUACUUUCAGCGGGGAGGCGGUACCCGAAGAAAAAGCCCCGGCUAACUCCGUGCCAGCCGCCGCGGUAAUUC
rnacentral:rRNA from 1 species